GAUGAACGCUGGCGGCGUGCCUAAUACAUGCUAGUCGAGCGAACAGAUAAGGAGCUUGCUCCUUUGACGUUAGCGGCGGACGGGUGAGUAACACGUGGGUAACCUACCUAUAAGACUGGAAUAACUCCGGGAAACCGGGGCUAAUGCCGGAUAACAUUUAGAACCGCAUGGUUCUAAAGUGAAAGAUGGUUUUGCUAUCACUUAUAGAUGGACCCGCGCCGUAUUAGCUAGUUGGUAAGGUAACGGCUUACCAAGGCAACGAUACGUAGCCGACCUGAGAGGGUGAUCGGCCACACUGGAACUGAGACACGGUCCAGACUCCUACGGGAGGCAGCAGUAGGGAAUCUUCCGCAAUGGGCGAAAGCCUGACGGAGCAACGCCGCGUGAGUGAUGAAGGUCUUCGGAUCGUAAAACUCUGUUAUUAGGGAAGAACAAAUGUGUAAGUAACUGUGCACGUCUUGACGGUACCUAAUCAGAAAGCCACGGCUAACUACGUG
rnacentral:rRNA from 1 species